UUUUGACAGUUAUAGCUCACCUUGAAUUGACUGAAAUGUGCCGGAAGGGAUAUCAGAACCAAGUGCACUAACAAGUCUUCAGAUAAAUCCAACUUGAGCGCCUUUAGUUUUGAAGCAAUGUGAGACAUUUCCAUAAUGUACUCCCGAAUGUUUCCUUUCCCUUUAUACCUCAUUGAGACAAGAUUUGCCAAAAGUGUACUUGUUUCAGCCUUUUCAUUCUUGGCAAACAUCUUCUCAAGGUCCUCAAGGAAACCCUUAGCCGUAGUCACCUUAUCGGACAUAGUGCCCCGGAAUGCUUCUGGAAUAGCACGCUUCAUAACCAUUAAGCUUAUGCGGUUCGAUCGUUCCCACUUUUCC
rnacentral:lncRNA from 1 species